rnacentral:rRNA from 1 species
AGUCGAACGGUAACGCGGGGCGACCUGGCGACGAGUGGCGAACGGGUGAGUAAUGUAUCGGAACGUGCCCAGUUGUGGGGGAUAACUGCUCGAAAGAGCAGCUAAUACCGCAUACGACCUGAGGGUGAAAGCGGGGGAUCGCAAGACCUCGCGCAAUUGGAGCGGCCGAUAUCAGAUUAGGUAGUUGGUGGGGUAAAGGCCUACCAAGCCGACGAUCUGUAGCUGGUCUGAGAGGACGACCAGCCACACUGGGACUGAGACACGGCCCAGACUCCUACGGGAGGCAGCAGUGGGGAAUUUUGGACAAUGGGGGCAACCCUGAUCCAGCCAUGCCGCGUGCGGGAAGAAGGCCUUCGGGUUGUAAACCGCUUUUGUCAGGGAAGAAAAGACUCCUACUAAUACUGGGGGUUCAUGACGGUACCUGAAGAAUAAGCACCGGCUAACUACGUGCCAGCAGCCGCGGUAAUACGUAGGGUGCAAGCGUUAAUCGGAAUUACUGGGCGUAAAGCGUGCGCAGGCGGUUAUGCAAGACAGAUGUGAAAUCCCCGGGCUCAACCUGGGAACUGCAUUUGUGACUGCAUGGCUAGAGUACGGCAGAGGGGGAUGGAAUUCCGCGUGUAGCAGUGAAAUGCGUAGAUAUGCGGAGGAACACCGAUGGCGAAGGCAAUCCCCUGGGCCUGUACUGACGCUCAUGCACGAAAGCGUGGGGAGCAAACAGGAUUAGAUACUCUGGUAGUCCACGCCCUAAACGAUGUCAACUGGGUGUUGG